UAAAGUUUUUUCUCCUCUCCUUUUGUUUUAAAGAAAAUUGUUUUUUCUCCUCUAUAAUUUUUGUUAUAAAUUUUAUGGGCAAUCUUCUUCAUUUGAGCUAAAGCUCUAUACUCUCACCCGAUUACGGAGGCUAACCGUUUCCGGGGGCUUUUACCGCUAGGGGGAACCAUUUGCGCCAGGGCGAUAGACGGGUUCUCAAUCUUCUAGGAAAUGAUUAGAGUUGAUAUAAAUAUGCUCUGUCAACUAAUAUGCCUAGUUACAGGAGAUGUGAUGAAUCAAUGCCCUGGAAAAUCAAAUCAAGAGGACCCACAGCCCAGCUACCCCUGUUGCAGCACGCGAGAUGUCCAGCUACCCCUGUUGCGGCACAUCUCAGCCCAGCUACCCCUGUUGCAGCACACGAGAUGUCCAGCUACCCCUGUUGCGGCACAUCUCAGCCCAACUACCCCUGUUGCGGCACGCGAGAUGUGUUGCGCGCUCAUCUUGAGCUGUGGGUCCUACACCCCUGUUGCGGCACGCGAGAUGGGUUGCGCGUCCAUCUUACGUACCAAAAAGCAUUUUUGGUUUUUAUAAGAGGUUCCGGGGAAAAAAUUUCCUUCUACCCCUCACUAUCACAAGAGUUGCAACUUAUGAUAUUUUUUAUAGCUAAUAACGAGAAGUUGUGUCUUAUGAUAUUUCGUAUUUGUAUAGUUAUUGAUUAAUCCUUUGUAAUUAACAUAACUUUCUAUAUAUAUGUGUCAUAAAAUA